rnacentral:lncRNA from 1 species
GUACUGUUUUAGCCAGAAGAUUUAAUAACAUGAUAGAAACCUGUGAAGACUGAACUAGGGGACAGAGAGAUGGACCAGUGGGAUGAAGGUGAUGUGAUCUUGAAGAAGUCCAUGAUCCAUGCUUCGGUCGGCUGCUUUGGCAAGGAGGUUUCUUUAGCAGAGGCAUCUGUGACUGUAGACUCAUAACUGAGAAUGAGAAACACCGAAGGCUUCUGUGACAACCUCCACAUUUCCCACUGGGUAGCUCUUCACAGUCUUCACAGUUGAUAGCUUCUGACAGGGGUGGUGGUGGUGGUGGAGCUGGUGGUGGUGGUAUGGUGAAGAAGGACUCAGUUUUCUUGAACGGACUGGUCAUUGGACAUGCUCCAAAGAGUAAAUGGGAAAUACAAAUUGGUCUUGGUGGGUUUGUUGUUGUUGUUGUUAUUUUGGGGGAGGCACAAGACUUGGAAGAACCUGGGGGGGGGGAAUAGAAAGCAUGUGACCAAGAUGCAUUAUAUGAAAUAAUUAAUAAAAAUAUUAUGUUGUAGAAAAAAGACUGAAGACUAGAAAAGUCUUAACAACACACAUGCAUAUGUAUGUAUGUAUGUAUGAAUUCUAUCCUUUUGUAAAACAAACAGAAAAACAUUAUCAACAAGCAAUACUAUACCUUGAUGGCCUAUACCCUUGGUUUCCUCUCUAAUAUUAAGAAAGAACUGGCAAGAUUUUUUAUUGGGUUAGGGAAGAACGGGCUGCUGUAAAUGGAGGGAUUGAAGGAGUCAGUUGCAUUGUACAUCUUUGUUCUAUUAUUAUUUUUUAAAAUCUUUUUGCAGUGCUAGGAUCAAACCCGGAGCCAUGAGCGUGCUAGGCAAGUAUUCUCCUACUUGGCUACAUCCAUUGGCUUUUGAACAUCUUUCC